CCUACGGGUGGCAGCAGUAGGGAAUAUUGCUCAAUGGGCGAAACCCUGAUGCAGCAACGCCGCGUGGAUGAUGAAGGUUUUCGGAUUGUAAACCCCUUUUGUUAGAGAAGAUAAUGCCGGUAUCUAACGAAUAAGCACCGGAUAGUACCGUGCCAGAAGCCGCGGUCAGACGGAGGGCGCACGCGUUAAUCGGAAUCACUGGGGGUAGAGUGCGCGUAGGCGGGAUGGCAAGUCAGAUGUGAAAGCCUUGGGCUUAACCGUAGAAGUGCAUUUGAAACUGGUAGUCUAGAGUACAGGAGAGGUAGGUGGAAUUCUUGGUGUAGGGGUAAAAUGCGUAGAGAUCAAGAAGAAUACUCAUUGCGAAGGCGGCUUGCUAGAACAUAACUGACGCUGAGGUGCGAAAGCGUGGGGAGCAAACAGGAUUAGAUACCCUAGUAGUC
rnacentral:rRNA from 1 species